rnacentral:lncRNA from 10 species
AUAAAAAUGUCAAUCCACUUGGGAAUUCCAAGUAGACUUUGUACUCUAAUAAAAGCUGUAGUUAUUGUGCAAAUGAAUGAAAUUUUACGAUGAUUGUAAUCAUUUAUAAACAGUGGUAAUUACCCAACCCUGUGGUUUAGUAUAAUAGAAAGAUCACAGGCCAAGAGUUAGGUGUAGGUUCUAAAUGCUAAGCAUCUUCAU